CAUUUUUAUGAAAAUCAAUUUUGACAGAAAGAAGAAAAAUGUAUUUUGAUAGAAUUAUGGAAGUCUAAAAUUAGUUUAGCUUCUUAAUUGUUGGGGCAGCAUCUAAGUCUCAGAGAGAAAAUGUGAUUUCUCCAAGUAACUGCUAGUCAGUGUCAGAACCAGGACUAGAACUCAUUUAUUUUGGCCGGUGACUCAAUGUUGUAUUUAUGACUUAAUGCAUGUACUGAUUUUCUUAAAACUCUACUUUACAGACAAGAGACAAGGGCUGGAAAUUAAGUGAGCUAUAGUGUUAGUGGUAUAUCAACAGUAGAAAAAACGGAAAAAUCCCCACUAUUAGCUGCUGCUGCUUUGUUUUUCCUGUUUAGCACUAUUUAAUAAUGGUAUAUAUAUAUCAGUGCUGUCCAGUAGAAAUACAAUAUAAGCCACAUCUAUAAUUUAAGAUUUUCUAGUAAGCCACAUUUCAAAAAUAGAAACAGGCAAAAUUAAUAUUUUGUCUAGGUCAGUAUAUCUGAAAUAUUAUUUUACCAUGUAAUUAAUAUUUGCAGUCUUUUUUUUUCAUACCAAAAUCCAAUGUGUCUUUUACACUAAGGGUACAUCUCAAUUAGCUAUACUUCAGAGAAGGGGAUCAGUAGCUACAUGUGGCUAGUGGCUGCCUUAUGGGGCAGUGCAGACCUAUAGCUUCAUGCUGCUUUUAGUUUCCACCAUUGUUCAAAUAGGUAAAGGCAGGAAAGAAUGCAUGGCUAGGGAUACAGUUUCUAGUAUCCAUCGUAUUUAAAGAAAAGUAUGCCUCUAUCAUAACUAGCUUAAUCAGAUUCUAGGAGUCUUUUCUUCAGGACCCUGUUGCCUUCUUUCCUCCAUCUUCUUUUUUUUCUGCAUCUUUACUUUUGAAGAUGUAAAUAUAUUUGGUAAACAUAUUAUUGCCCUUAUUAACAGUCCUUGAUAUACUUGGGAAAUAACUUUGAGAAAGAAACCAAAUUAUAAUGGAAAAAUCCUGGCACUGAGACAGGAGUAAGUAUGGGAGAUUUGCAGGAUGGAAAUGAGACAGACCUGUUUCAAGCAGAUGGUAUAUAUGUGAUAGCACAAAGAUUUUUAAAAAUUCAACUUCUAGUUUUUGUUUUUUCUAAAAAUUUCCUUUGGUUUCCUUUUUGUCUGUUUGUUGUAAUUACUUUUCUAAGCCCUUGCUGUUGACCUCAGUCACACUUAGUCUGGUAUUAACUGCUCUUUUGGCUUGAGAUAGGUUCAAUAAUGAGACUUUGGCAGAACUGUCUUGAGAGAGCACUGCAGUUGAAUUCCAUCUGGAUUUUGGUCACUGUCUCAUUGUUACAGUUAAUCCACUGGUUUUGCCUGUCUUUAUUUUUUUGUUUUUGCUUUUAAAUAUAGCUUAAUUAAUUAUUAACCCUUCUAACUACCACCUUAAGAAAUAGAAUUUUUCCAGCUGCACCUGAAGCCUCUCCACCUGCCCCAAUUAAAUAAAUUUCAUCCCUUAUGUGUCUCCUAAAGUAACCACUUACGUUAUAGUAAUCAUUUCUUGCAUUUGGUUAUAAUUUUUUUACCCAAAUGUGUAUCCCUAAGUCCUAUAGUUUUCUUAUCUAUUUGUUUAGCUUGAUGUCUUUUGUUUACAAGUUGUCUGUUGAAGAAUCUGGACCGGCCGGUUGCUAUAGCUCAUGCCUUUAAUCCCAACACUGGGAGGCCACUGGAGGCAGAGGAUCAUUUGAGCCCAGUAGUUCAAGACCAGCCUGGGAAAUAUAAUGAGAUCCCCGUCUCUAGAAAACAUUUGGAAAAUUAGCUGGGUGUGGUGACACAUGCCUAUAGACCCAACUCCUUGAGAGGCUGAGGCAGGAGGAUUGCUUGAACCCAGGAAGUCAAGGCUGUAGUGAGCUAUAAUUGUGCCAUUACCUUCCAGCCUGGGUGACAGAGUGAGACCCUGAGACGCUGUCUGAAAAAAAAAAAAAAUCCAGACCCUUUGACCUGUAGGAAUUUGCCGUAGUAUAGAUUUUACUGAUUGCACAGUGGUGCAAUUCACUAUGUUUCUCUGUCCUUUGUUUUUGCUACAAAUUGGCAGCUGGAUCCAGAGACUGGAUCAGACUGGAUCAGGUUUGAUCCCUUUGGCAAGACUCUAGGUGCUGGUGUGUUUCUUUAGCAGGAAGAACACAGUGUCUAGUUUUUGCCCUUUGUUGAUAUUAGCAGCUAUUGAUGUUUAGCACCUGCACCCAUUAACUCAUUGAGGGUUGCAAAAUGAUGACAGUCUAUCAUUUUGUUUUAAUUUUUAUCAGAAAUAAUUUUAUAAGGAAACACUUCAUCUAUUAUUUGGUUACCCAGUGGUGCAGUUAAAAUAGAAUGACUGAUUAUUUCCUUUUAUUUACCAGAUUUUCAGGAUAAUGAAUUGGCUUCAAAAACAACCAUUUAUAUGUGUGUUUACAUAUAUAUAUUUCCAAAAGAAUUGGAAACAGGGACUGAAACAGAUGCUUACAUAUCCAUGUUCAUAGGAGCAUUAUUUCCAGUAUUCACAGUAGCCAAGAGGUGAAAAGGAUCCAAAUGUCCAUCCACUGAUGAAUGGAUAAAAAAUGUGCUUAUAAAUACAAUGGACUAUUAAUCAGCCUUAUAAAGGGAGGAGAUUCUGACACAUGCUGCAACAUAGAUGAACCUUGAGGAUUACUAUGCUAAGUGAAGUAAGCCAGUUACAAAAAGACAAAAGAGGUAUGAUUCCAUUUAUGUGGGAUACCUAGAGUAGCCAGAUUCAGAGACAGAAAGUAGAAUGGUGGUUUCCAGGGGUUAGGAGUAGGGGAAAUGAGGACUUAGUAUUUAAUGAAUAUGGAGUUUUCAGUUUGGAAAGAUGAAAAAAUUCUGGAGAUGGAUGUGAUGAUGGUGAUUAUCAUAUCAUGAACAAUGUGAAUGUCCUUAAUGCCACUGAAUUGUACAUUUAAAAAUGGUUACAGUAGUAAGUUUCAUGUUAGUAUGUUUUACCAUCACACAAAAAUACCCAUUAUUUUACAGUUUUAUAGGUCAGACAUCUCAGUUGGGUUUUGUGCUUAAGGUCUCAUAUGACUGAAAUCAAGGAGUUGGCUGGGCUGGACCCUUAUCUGGAGACUCUGAGGAAGAGUCCUCUUCCAGGCUCACUCAGGGCAUUUGCAGAAUUCAAUUUCUUGUGGUUGUAGAACUGAGGCCCUGUUUUGAUGUUGUUGUUGUUGUUGGCUGUAAGUUGUGUUCUGCUUUCAGCUUCUUGAGGCUGCACAUAUUCUUGGUCAUGUGGCCUAGACCCUUCCAUCUUCAUGUCAGUGAUGUGCAUUGAAUCAUUCUGGUCCUCUGAAUCUCUCUGACUUCCCAUUCUGCUGUCAGCUGCAGAAAAUGCUCUGCUUUUAAAAGACCUUAUGUGAUCACAUCAGAUUAGGUUUAUCAGAUGAUCUUCCUUUUGUCACGUAAUGUAACAUAAUCACUCCUGCAGUAUCUCAUCAUAUUCACAGUUUUCAUCCAUACUCAAGGGGGAGGACAUUAUACAGGGGCAAGGGUCUGUGAGGGUCAUUCUUAAAAUUCUGCCUACUACACAGCAUGACAGAAAAGAACCAAAUAUAUCUGUGUUUGAAUCCCAUUUUCACCCAUUGCUUUGUUUGCUGGAAAAGGGAAGCUGUCAUAAGCUUCCUGAGCUUGAGUUUCUUUUCUUUAAGGUGGAGAUUAUACUCUUCUUGCAGAAUUUUGUGAGGAUUAGGUCCUGGCACAUAGAUAGAACCUAUUAAUUAGAGGUGUAUAUGUGUGUGUCCAUGUCCCACCGUGUGUACACACGUGCAUUUUACUAGGCUUUGUGGUAUUUUCCAAAAAUUAGACUGCUGAGGCUUCUUAGUCAAUAAAUAUCUGGAGGGUUUGUUUACAAUGCAGAUACCAAGUCCACCUUCUAGAUAGGUUGCUUUAGUGUAGUGUUCCGGAAUCUUUAUUUUUAAACAGAUUAUGCAGGUAAUUGUGUUGUGUAACCACGUAUGAGACCACUGGUGUAGAAACAAUCAGAAAGAUCUGGGGCUGAAUUUUACUCAGCUCUUCCCUUACUGACUCUGACAUUGAACAAAUUUCUUGACUUUUAUGAGAAUACCAUGAUAUAACUGGUAGGGUUGUUGUUAGGCUUAUUAGUUAUAUAUGUAUAGGAAAUGGUAACUGCUAUGGAUGACGAUGAUGAUGAUGGUGAAUAUAGUGCUGAUAGACACUGCAUCUAGAUUCCAAAUGAGCUUAAUGGGCCAUCAUUGACUGCACCACUGAUCUUGCCCCUGCCUCAUCCAUCCCAUCCUAUAUUUGAAUCAUACUAUGUUUCUUCCUGUUCCCUCACUGUGCUUCUUCAUUCCUCAUUGCUUCUGACUUUUUUUUUUCUUAUAUCAUGGAAGGGUUCUGCACCUUCUGAUGAGCUCAUCUCUUAAGAGACUUUUCAAAUGUUACCUCUUCUGUGAAGCCUUUCUGAUUCACAUACUUCUAAUAGGUUUAAUUCUCCCCCAUCCUCUACUUUUUUUUCCUUCUCCUGCUCCUCUUUCUUUUCAUUCUCACCUCCCGCCUCUUUUGACAGGAUCUUGCUCUGUCACCCAGGCUGGAGUGCAGUGGUGCAAUCACAGUUCAUUACAGCCCCAAAUUCCUGGGCUCAAACAAUCCUCCUGCCUCAGCCUCCUGAGUAGCUAGGACUAUAGGUGUGUGCCAACACACCCAGGUAAUUAAUUUUUUUUUUUUUUUGGAGACGAGGUCUCACUGUGUUGCCCAGGCUGGUCUUAAACUCCUGGCCUUAGGCAGUUCUCCUAACUCAGUCUCCCAAAGCAUUGGGAUUACAGGCACCAGCGACCAUACCUGGCCUGUCAUUUUACAUUUGUAAUUUAGAGCCGUGAAAUUACUUGUUGCAUUGUAUUACAUGUUAAUGUUUCUGUUUUCCCUGCUUGGAUAAUAAGUUCCCAUCCACUGUCAUACUUGCCUGGCACAUAAUAAAUACUCAAAAAUGCUUGUUGUUAAUUUUAUGUAUUUAUAAAAAUAAUCAGUACAUUUUGGGAAAUUUGCCUUUACUAUGAUUUACAUACGAAAGAACUAUGGGAGUUAUUUAUCUUAAACAUAAUAUGAGCUAGCAGUAUGAUAUAUUUUCUGAAAAAGAAAGCAAAAUAUCCAUGUGAAUAUAAGCUAUGUAAAAGAAGAAUGGGGAAAGGAACCAUAGAGGAAACCCAGAUCAGGCACUGUGCUAGAUGAUUUUCAUACACAUUCCCGUCAUAACCCUGUAAGGUAAAUGAGUUUGUAAUUUCGUUUUGCAGAUGAGAACACUGAGACUCACAUUACUUUUAGUAACUUAUCAAGGUCACAUAGACAUGGUGAAUCUGAGAUUGGACUUGGAUCUUAUUUAAAAGCCCUGUUCAAUUCUUGACUUUACUAGGCUCCCAUUCCUCUGGACUAGAAGAGUGAAUUCAGAUACUGUAAGUUGUUGUAAGGUAGUGUAAAACCAGUGGAGGAAAGCAGAAAAGUGAAAAACUUUUUUUGUGUUGGUUACGAAGUGUGUGCCACUAGAUGGUGCCCUUUUCUUGAUGAAGAAGUAAAAUGUUGCUUUAGUCCUGUGAUCUGAUUCCUUUGCAUAGCAGUCAAAACCAAAACAUUGACAUUUUCAGAUAUCUGGAAAAUGGAGAUGUAACAACAUUAAAGAGGCAAUGUGGCCUGGUCUCGGUGGCUUAUGCCUGUAACGCCAGCACUUUGGGAGGCCAAGGCAGGAGGAUAACUCGAGUCCAGGAGUUGGAGACUAGCCUGGGCAACAUAAUAAGACUUCUUUUCUACAAAAAAAGGACAAAAUUAUCUGGGUGUGGUAGAUUCUACCUCUAGUCCUAGCUACUUGGAAGGCUGAGGUGGGAGGAUCACUUGAAUGCAGGAGGUCAAGGCUGCAGUGAGCUGAGAUCAUACUGCUUGCACUCCAACCUGGGUAACAGAGGAAGACAUUAUAUCAAAAAAAAAAAAAAAAAAAAAGGAUAUAGUGGCAAAAACAAAUACAGGGCAUGUAUGUAAUGAAAUUCAGAUUUGGAUUCUGUCACAUUCUGGUGUUGUGACUUGAGGCAACUUUUCAGCCCUGAGCCCUAUUUUCUUUCUCUGGAAUAGGCAUCAUGCCAUUUACUCAUAGUAUUGUGAGUAUCAAAUUAGUUAAUAUAUCUUGAAAAGUACCCCAAAACAGUGUUUGGAACUUAAUAGGAUCUAAAUGAAUGGUAGUUGUUAUAAUUUAUAAUUGCUAUUAAUACAGAUGAAUCUCAGAUUCUGAAGAAUUCUAAAGGGCCUUAGGAACCAUCAAAGAAAGAUAAAUUAUAUUAAACAAAGUUUUAAUGCUAAAUAUAUUACACAUCUAUGAAAACUAUUAAUCCACAUAUGAUUUAGAGUAACUCUCUUUCACUCAGUCCAAUGAAACUGAGUACUUCAUUUCCCUAUUGUGCUAGUUAUCAGAAUUGAAUGUGCUUUCCUGAGGGAUGCAUUAUCCACUUUUCUUUUAGUCUAUCACAAGAGGAGUCAGUAGUGUACCAUGACAGAAUAUUAAUAUUUUCAGCACUGACUUCUGUUACUGCCCUGUUUCAUUGAUACCAUGACAUUUUUUGUCACAGUGUAAUAAGGUAUUAUUUUUAGGUUAAUGUAUAACCUUAAGAAUGUCUUCCUUUUCCCUUGGAUCUGUAUCUGGUAAGAACUUUAAUCAAUUGUCUUAUCAUUACACUGUGAAAAUUCACUCUAUUUAUUUUGGCUUUUGUUGUUAAUUCAAUAGCCUUUUUGUAAGCUCUUUGUCUUCCCUAUGAAUUUAAUAUUGAAAAUAUCCUCCCUUGGGCUAGAUGUAAACAUCUAUUUAAUCUCUGUGAUUGGCACCUAGAUGUCAUUAAUGCUAUAUUUUAUGAAUGUUUAUACUGUUUCAUAAUUACAAAUUAAAUGAAAAAGAAAGUGAUGGAAGAAUAUAUUCCAGGCAAGUGCUAACCAUAAGAAAGCUCGGAAAUGGAAUUAAUAUCAGACAUAGAAUACUAAGAAAAUAAAUUAAAUUGUUAUGGAAAAAGAGAAUACCAAAGACACAGUAUCACAUAGAUAACAUUUUUUGAUAACAAUGGAAUAAAUUAGAAAUCCCUUGACAAAACAGUAGCCACCCAUCUCACACACAUACUUCUGAAUAAUUCAUUGGUGAAAGUAGAAAUCAGAAUAGAAAUUGUAAAAUAUUCAAAUCUGAUUAAUAAUGAAAGAACUACAUGUUAAAACUGCAUCUAUGGAAAUCUGUGAUUUAUAAUCUUAAAUGAAUAUAUUAUAAAACAGAUUGAGAAUUAAUGAUCUAAGCAUUAAAUUUUUUAAAUUAGGGAAAGAAAAGUAUUACAAAAGGAAAUAGAAGAAAAUAACAAAAAGAAUACAUUAAUGAAAUUGGAAAUAAACAUUAGAAAGCAUAAACAAAUUGAACUGUGAUUCUGUGAAAGUAAUAAAUCCUGGUUAGAGUGAGAGAAAAACAGCAAAGGUACAAAUAAAUAAUAUUAAGAAUGAAAAAAGAAUUUUUAGUGAUCAUAGUAGAGAUGAAAAAUUGACAGCAACCUACUACAAAUAAUUUUUGCCCAUAAAUUUGAAAGCUUACAUGAAAAUGGAUAAUUUCUCACACAAGUAUCAAUCCCCAAAAUUAGGCUAUCAAAUAACUUGACAAGGUGAUUCUAAAAGUUAUUUAAAAUUUGGGAGAGGGGGCCGGGCACGGUGGCUCAUGCCUAUAAUCCCAGCACUUUGGGAGGCCGAGGUGGGCGGAUCACAAGGUCAAGAGAUUGAGACUAUCCUGGCCAACAUGAUGAAACCCCAUCUCUACUAAAAAUACAAAAAACUUAGCCAGGUGUGGUGGCACACAACUGUAGUCCCAGCUACUCGGGAGGCUGAGGUGGAAGAAUCGCUUGAAUCCAGGAGGCGGAGGUUGCAGUAAGUCAAGAUUAUGCCACUGCAAUUGGGGAAAGGGGAGAGCUAUUUUUAAAGAAUAAGGAGUUGGUCGACUUGCCACUCCAGAUAGUAAGGUUUUUAAAUGAAAGUAUGGUAAUUAAAAUGGUAUGGUGGUAAAAGAGAAAGAAAUGAUUAGCAGAACUGAAGAAAAAGAUGAAAAAUAGAACUAUUUGGACUUGGGUCUUGGAAUAAGCUGGAAAUUUGGUAUAUGAUAAAACAUUACAAAUCAGACAUUAUUGCUUAGUAAAUGAAGCUGGAUCAAUUGAGUGUUCAUAUGAAAAAAGAAUAUUACUCUUUCUCCCAUGUGAUAUACGGAAACAAAUUUCAGAUGUAUUAGAAGUAUAAAAUGAAAUUUUAAACUUAGAAGAAAAGCAUAGACGAAUGUCUUUAUGAUGUCAAAAUAGAGCAGAAAGCGUAAACCAUGAUAGCAAAUAUUUGUGGAUUUGGCAGCCUUCAAAAUUUAAAAUGUUUGAACAAAAAAAUAUACCACAAUCAAAGGGAAAGACAACUCAUGGACAGGAGAGAAAAUACUGACAAGACAUAAAUUAGCAAAGGAUUCAUACUCCAUAUGUAUAAAUAACUUCUGCAUAUUAAUAAGACAAAAAGAAAAUCCCCCCAAAUGCAUACACAUCAGUAAAGAAGACAAAAGAGUACUCGAAAUGUAGAAAAGUUAUAUACUUCUCUAGUUAUAGGCCUAGAAGCAAAGAGGAGUUAAAAAAAAAAAAGAAAAGUUAUAUACUUUUCAAUUCAUAUAAGAGGGAACAAGAAGGUAAAAUGUUGAGUACAAAAAGCAAAGCAAAUUGUUUACUACUCUGUUACUGGCACCUAGGACCGGGCCUAGAAAUUCGAUAAAUACUUGUUGAAUCAAUAAAUGAAUGAUGCUAAAGUAGGUCCUCCAUGCAGCAUCUUUAGUGAGCAGGUUGAACCUCAAGCUGUCCUGCUUCCUUGUAUAUUACUGAUUCUCUUGCUCUUCUCUAGACUGUAUGCUCCUUCAGGGCAUAGACGUUUUAUAUCCCCUGGCUGUUACUGUUCUUGGCCCAGAAUAGUUAUAAGUAUGUUGAAGUAAUUAGUGAAUAUUGUUUACUGUCACCAUGUCCUGUUAAGAACAGACUUUGGAUCAGGGGUUGCAAGACCUAUUAUUAUUCUCCCUUUUAGUUGUUGGACGUUUGGCAAACUUAAAAAAUUUUUUGUUAAAAAGAAAUAUAUAUUUUUUGGCCAGCGCAAGUGGCUCACGCCUGUAAUUCCACCAGUUUGGGAGGCUGAGGCGAAUGGAUCAUGAGGUCAAGGGAUCGAGAUCAUCCUGGCCAACAUUUUUAGUAGAAACCCUGUCUCUACUAAAUAUGCAAAAAUUAGACAGGCAUGGUGGCUCUCACCUGUAGUCCCAUCUACUCAGGAGGUUGAGGCAGGAAAAUCCCUUGAACCCGGGAGGUAGAGGUUGCAGUGAGCUGUGAUGUUGCCACUACACUACAGCCUGGCGACAGAGCAAGACUCCAUCUCAAAAAAAAAAAAAAAACAGAAAAAAAAAUUGUUUUUUAACCUGAGUCUUCGUUUCUUAAUCUCUGAAGAAGAGUAAUAACCUGUUUUGCCUAAGUCUCAGAGCGCAUAUUUAAGUGCACUAUGUGAAUGUAAGUAGACUUCUGAUGUCAUUUAAGCAGUGAUGAGAAGUAUGUGGUUGUGAAGUUAUAACGGGAGUAACUAUGCUGUAUAUUCUUAGCACUGUCUACAUUCCUUUUAGGAGCAUGUGAGCAAUCUAUGUCCCAGAGGAGUCAUCAUUCUUUUUUUGUUAUCUUUGGAACCAAUUCACCAGCCCACUUUUCUCUUCUUUUUGAAAAGGGAGAUUGGCCCUAAAAUAGCCAGAUUUCUGUUUCUUUCCUUCUUUUUUUCCCCAAGCCAUGAGAGCAAAACUAUCUUUCUGUCUUUGGCAUCAGAAUGAUGAUUCAUGGCUGAAGUAUGUCUGUGUGUAUAGUAUAAAAGGAAAAGAGGGAAAGUCAGGAAAUUCAUCCAGUUGGAUAAGACUGUGUAACUUGGGUUUCUAUUUGGUGCCUCAAUAGUGUGACCCUGGAGCAACAGGCAUCUUGGUUACCUCAAGUACUGAUAGAACUUUAAGAUGUUGACCAUCUGAAACCUUCAGAAAGAAAAUCGUGAGAGGUCACUGAAAGAUAUAUAUGUUUACUAUAUAUCUUUAUAUAUAGACCUUUAGCACAAUAGGUCUUAGAAGUGGAGUUGAUAUAAAAAUGAUAUUUUUGUGGGUUGGUAUAACAAAUAACUUUUCUUAACAAUAUAACACCAUUUUAUAUAUAGAUUAUCAAAGGGAGUUUUGCUUUACCAGAGAGAAACAAAAAAGUACUCUAAACCCAGAUAAAGGGAGAGGAAGGAUGAAUGGUGUUUGUCUCAGGCAGAGGGAACAUGUGGAAAAUGUGGUGUUGGGGGACAACUUGGGGCAAUUGGUAAGCUUUAAGCUAUUUAAGUGUAGAAUAGAGAGGUAGGCAUGGAGCAAAUCAUUAAGGGCCUUGUAGGCUAGGCUGUGGCAGAAAGUGAUCACAUCCCAUUAACCAGAAGCACUUGAGAAUGAAAGGGGAUCUAUCUAGUCAUUAUUGAGUCAGGACAACAGGAAUAAUCCAGGAUUGUUUCAGGCAAACCAGGUUGUGAAGGUGAAGAAGAGCCAUUGAUGUGGUAACAUCCUCCAAGGAAUGGAACGUUAAAAUAAUUAAUAGACUAGAGGAUUGGAGAGCUGAAUAUCUUGACUGAAAGGGAAUAAGAGAGGCAGGUCAGGUGAGGCAUUGCUAGGUGAGGACAUGGAAUUGAAAAGGGCUAUCGUUAAAGAGGUUAAAGACUUGAGUCUUGAGGAUGUGUAAAUGCAGUUGGGAAAAAGAGAGAGAGAAGAAAAAGAGAGACCAGGAAGAGAGAGAGAGACAGAAAUUGAAAAUUGGCAGGGAUACGGAGCAUGAGUAUAGAAGGACUGGGUUUUAGAAAGAAGAGUGGAUGCCUUUUCUAUUAUGAUAAAUGGAAAAGAAGCAUACUGAGUUUAGAUGCAAGUGAGUCUUCAGGUGGGAGAGUAUAGCAGGAAGGUUUAGAAUUUCUACCCAGUGGCUGCUUUUGUUGUUGGGAGUCAAUGAAUAAAGCAGUAAAAUACAUAUAAGGAUUGGAGUAGAAGUAUUAAGGCUAUUAUUCAUGGCAACCUAAUUGAGCAUAUGGAAAAUCCAAAAGAAUCUACAGAUGGAGAGGACUCAAGAUGGCGCUGUGAGAACAACCCAGGAUUGAAGCUUGCGGUCAGUGUGCGGAAGGGGUGAGUCAGGGCCGCAUUUCCAGACGGAUCUUUGUUGCCCACAGAACGGGGAAAUUCCUAGGUAUAGAAGGAGACACGGGACGCCAGGCAGAGGUUUUGGCUGGUACAGCCGGCAGCCGGUGCGGCAGCUGCCCGCGCUGUGGUGGCGCUACACAGCGGUCUGCACAAAGCGUGCUCGUACGGGUGCCCUGUUGGGCCGGCAACCUGAGACUUGGGAGGGCUGAACUUGAGACUGAAUGGGACUUGGACAGUGAGCCAGCCCAGGAGAUUUUAGGGUGACAGCGUUUGGGGUAGCGCAGUGGGACAAACAAAACGGCGAUUCCAAACGCUCCCCGUGGAGGGGUUCCCUGAGGCCGCAGCUCUGUGGGGGAGGGGCGUCUGCCAUUACCGAGGCAAACUGCCCCUACUGAGGUACACGCCCAUUGCUGACAGCCUGCUGUUGCUGAGGAAACCCGCUACAACAGAGAGACUCCGCCGCAGGGCGUAGCCCGUGGCAGCAGGGCGGAGACAGCAGCAGAAGGGGAGAGCCUGCAGCAACAGGGCGAACCUCACAGCAGCAGGGCGGAGCCUCGGCAGGCAAAUAGUGACUAGACUGCCUCCUAGCUGGGCAGGACAGCGCCGCGGACACUCACAAGGAAAGCCCCAACCCCCCCAGACAGAGCAUCUGAGAAAAAAAGCGUUUUUUUUUAUGAGUUAUGUUGCAGCAGAAUUAAACAUAGCAGCCUAACAGCCCUGAAUGAACAACAGAGCUCACAGCUCAGCACUUGAGCUCCUACAAAGUACAGACUGUCUCCUCAAGCAGCUCCUUGACCCCUCUAUAUCCAAAAGACUGACAUUUGGCAGGCAUCAUUCUGGGACAAAGAUAGCAGAAAAAGAAACUGGUAGCAUCCCUCACUGUUCCGCAGCUGCUAAAGGUGCACCCCAGAGAAGCAGGGCCUGGAGUGGACCUCAGCAGUCGUACAGCGAAGGGGCUAGACUGGUAGAAGGAAAACCAAGUAACAGAAAUACUUCAUCAUCAACAAUCUGGGUGUCCACUCAGAGACCCAAUCGAAAAGUCAGCAACUACACAGACGACAGGUGGAUAAAUCCACAAAGAUGGGAAGAAACCAGCGCAAAAAGGAGGAAAACACCCGAAAACAGAACACCUCACCUGCUAGAAAGGACCAAAACUCCUCACCAGCAAGGGAACAAAGCUGGAUGGAGAACGACUGUGACGAAAUGACGGAAUUAGACUUCAGAAGGUGGAUAAUGAGAAACUUUUGUGAGCUAAAAGAACAUGUUUUAAAUCAAUGCAAAGAAACUAAGAACCUUGAAAAAAGAUUCGAGGAAAUGAUAACAAGAAUGGAUAACUUAGAGAGGAAUAUGAAUGAAUUAAAGGAGCUGAAAAACACAAUACAAGAACUUCACAAAGCAUGCACAAGUUUCAGUAGCCGAAUUGACCAAGCAGAAGAAAGAAUAUCAGAAGUUGAAGAUCAACUCAAUGAAAUACAACGAGAAACCAAGAUCAGAGAAAAAAGCGCAAAAAGGAAUGAACAAAGUCUCCAAGAAAUGUGGGACUAUGUGAAGAGACCUAACCUACGUUUGAUAGGCGUACCAGAAUGUGACGAAGAGAAUGAAUCCAAGCUGGAAAAUACUCUUCAGGACAUUAUCCAGGAAAAUUUCCCCCACCUAGCAAGACAGGCCAACACUCAAUUGCAGGAAAUACAGAGAACACCACAAAGAUAUUCCGCAAGAAGAGCAACCCCAAGGCACAUAAUUGUCAGAUUCAACAAGGUUGAAAUAAAGGAGAAAAUACUAAGGGCAGCCAGGGAGAAAGGUCGGGUCACCCACAAAGGGAAGCCCAUCAGACUCACAGCAGAUCUCUCGGCAGAAACCCUACAAGCCAGAAGAGAGUGGGGGCCAAUAUUCAACAUCCUUAAAGACAAGAACUUUCAACCCAGAAUUUCAUAUCCAGCCAAACUGAGCUUCAGAAGUGAAGGAAAAAUAAAAUCCUUUGCGAACAAGCAAGUACUCAGAGAGUUUGUCACCACCAGGCCUGCUUUACAAGAGCUCCUGAAAGAGGCACUACACAUAGAAAGGAACAACCAGUACCAGCCAUUCCAAAAUCACACUAAAUGCUAAAGAGCAUCAACAUAAUGAAGAAUCUACAACAACUAACGGGCAAAACAGCCAGCUAGCAUCAAAAUGGCAGUAUCAAAUUCACACAUAACAAUAUUAACCCUAAAUGUAAAUGGACUAAAUGCACCAAUCAAAAGAUACAGACUGGCAAAUUGGAUAAAAAUCCAAAACCCAUCAGUGUGCUGUAUUCUGGAAACCCAUCUCACAUGCAAGGAUACACAAAGGCUCAAAAUAAAGGGAUGGAGGAAGAUUUACCAAGCAAAUGGAGAGCAAAAAAAAGCAGGAGUUGCAAUUCUCAUCUCUGAUAAAAUAGACUUUAAAGCAACAAAGAUCAAAAGAGACAAAGAAGGCCAUUACAUAAUAGUAAAAGUAUUGAUACAACAAGAAGAGCUAACGAUCCUAAACAUAUAUGGACCCAAUACAGGAGCACCCAGAUACAUAAGGCAAGUUCUUAACGACUUACAAAGAGACUUAGACUCCCACACAAUAAUAGUGGGAGACUUUAACACUCCACUGUCAAUAUUAGACAGAUCAACCAGACAGAAAAUCAACAAGGAUAUCCAGGGCUUGAACUCAGACCUGGAGCAAGCAAACCUGAUAGACAUUUACAGAACUCUCCACCCCAAAUCCACAGAAUAUACAUUCUUCUCAGCACCACAUCACACCUACUCUAAAAUUGACCACAUAAUUGGAAGUAAAGCACUGCUCAGCAAAUGCAAAACAACUGAAAUCAUAACAAACAGUCUCUCAGACCAUAGUGCAAUCAAGUUAGAACUCACAAUUCAGAAACCAACCCAGAACCGCACAGCUUCAUGGAAACUGAACAAGUGGCUCUUGAAUGUUGACUGGAUAAACAAUGAAAUGAAGGCAGAAAUAAAGAAGUUCUUCGAAACCAAUGAGAACGAAGACACAACAUGCCAGAAUCUCUGGGACACAUUUAAAGCAGUCUCUAGAGGAAAGUAUAUAGCAAUAAGUGCCCAUAUGAGAAGAAUGGAGAGAUCCAUAAUUGACACCCUAUCGUCAAAAUUGAAAGAUCUAGAGGAGCAAGAUCAAAAAAACUCAAAACCCAGCAGAAGACAAGAAAUAACUAAGAUCACAGCUGAACUGAAGGAGAUUGAGACACGAAAAACCCUUCAAAAAAUCAAUAAAUCCAAGAGCUUGUUUUUUGAAAAGAUCAACAAAAUAGACAGACCACUAGCCAGACUGAUUAAAAAGAAAAGAGAGAACAACCAAAUAGAUGCAAUAAAAAAUGAUAAAGGGGAAAUCACCACAGAUUCCACAGAAAUUCAAAACAACAUCAGAGAAUAUUACAAACAACUCUAUGCACACAAACUAGUAAACCUGGAAGAAAUGGAUAAAUUCCUGGACUCCUGUGUCCUCCCAAGCCUAAACCGGGAGGAAGCUGAAACUAUGAAUAGACCAAUAACAAGGACAGAAGUGGAGGCAGCAAUUAAGAGCCUACCACACAAAAAAAGCCCAGGUCCAGAUGGGUUCAUAGCCGAAUUCUACCAGACACACAAAGAGGAGUUGGUACCAUUCCUUCUGAAACUAUUCCAAAUAAUCCAAAAAGAAGGAAUCCUUCCCAAUAUCAUCCUGAUACCAAAACCCGGCAGAGACCCAAGAAGAAAAGAAAACUUCAGGCCAAUAUCCAUGAUGAACAUAGAUGCAAAAAUCUUCAAUAAAAUAUUGGCAAGCCGAUUGCAACAGCAAAUCAAAAAACUUAUCCAUCAUGAUCAAGUAGGAUUCAUCCCGGGGAUGCAAGGCUGGUUCAACAUACGCAAGUCUAUAAACGUAAUUCACCACAUAAACAGAACCAAAAACAAAAACCACAUGAUUAUCUCAAUUGACGCAGAGAAGGCAUUGGACAAAAUUCAACAGCCCUUUAUGCUAAAAACCCUCAAUAAACUUGGUAUCGAUGGAACAUAUCUCAAAGUAAUAAAAGCUGUUUAUGACAAACCAACAGCCAAUAUCAUACUGAAUGGGCAAAAACUGGAAGCAUUCCCUUUGAAAUCCGGCACUAGACAAGGAUGCCCUCUUUCACUACUCCUAUUCAAUAUAGUACUGGAAGUUCUAGCCAGAGCAAUCAGGCAAGAAAAAGAAAUAAAGGGUAUUCAAAUAGGAAAGGUGGAAGCCAAAUUGUCUCUAUUUGCAGACGACAUGAUAGUAUACCUAGGACACCCCAUCGCCUCAGCCCAAAAACUCCUGAAACUGAUAAGCAACUUCAGCAGUCUCAGGAUAUAAAAUCAAUGUGCAAAAAUCACAAGCCUUCCUCUACACCAAUAACAGACUUAAAGGAAGCCAAAUCAAGAACGAACUGCCAUUCACAAUUGCUACAAAAAGAAUAAAAUACCUUGGAAUACAACUCACAAGGAAUGUAAGGGACCUCUUCAAGGAAAACUACAAACCACUGCUCAACGAAAUCAGAGAGGACACAAACAGAUGGAGAAACAUUCCAUGUUCAUGGUUAGGAAGAAUUAAUAUCGUAAAAGUGGCUAUACUGCCCAAAGUAAUUUACAGAAUCAAUGCUAUGCCCAUCAAGCUACCAUUGACUUUCUUCACAGAACUGGAAAAAAACACCAUGAACUUCAUAUGGAACCAAAAGAGAGCCCGUAUAGCCAAGUGAAUUCUAAGCAAAAAGAACACAGCGUGGGGCAUCACACUACCGGAUUUCAAACCAUACUACAAGGCUACAGUAAUCAAAACAGCAUGGUACUGGUACCAAAACAGAGAUAUAGACCAAUGGAACAGAACAGAGGCAUCAGAGGCAACACAACAUAUCUACAACCAUACAAUCUUUGAUAAACCCGACAAAAACAAGCAAUGGGGAAAGGAUUCCCUGUUCAACAAAUGGUGUUGGGAAAACUGGCUAGCCAUGUGCAGAAAGCAGAAACUGGACCCCUUCCUGACACCUUACACUAAAAUUAACUCCAGAUGGAUUAAAGAUUUAAACAUAAGACCUGGCACCAUAAAAACCCUAGAGGAAAAUCUAGGCAAAACCAUUCAAGACAUAGGAGUAGGCAAGGACUUCAUGAACAAAACACCAAAAGCAUUGGCAACAAAGGCCAAAAUAGACAAAUGGGACCUAAUCAAACUCCACAGCUUCUGCACGGCAAAAGAAACAGUCACUAGAGUGAAUUGGCAACCAACAGAAUGGGAAAAAAUUUUUGCAGUUUACCCAUCUGACAAAGGGCUGAUAUCCAGAAUUUAGAAAGAACUCAAACAGAUUUACAGGAAAAAAACAAACAAGCCCAUUCAAAAUUGGGCAAAGGAGAUGAACAGACACUUUACGAAAGAAGACAUAUAUGAGGCCAACAAUCAUAUGAAAAAAUGCUCAUCAUCACUGGUCAUCAGAGAGAUGCAAAUCAAAACCACAUUGAGAUACCAUCUCACACCAGUUAGAAUAGCGAUCAUUAAAAAAUCUAGAGACAACAGAUGCUGGAGAGGAUGUGGAGAAAAAGGAACACUUUUACACUGUUGGUGGGAGUGUAAAUUAGUUCAACCAUUGUGGAAGACAGUGUGGCGAUUCCUCAAUGCCUUAGAAAUAGAAAUUCCAUUUGACCCAGCAAUCCCAUUACUGGGUAUAUAUCCAAAGGACUAUAAAUCGUUCUACUAUAAGGACACAUGUACACGAAUGUUCAUUGCAGCACUGUUUACAAUAGCAAAGACCUGGAAUCAACCAAAAUGCCCAUCAAUGGUAGACUGGAUUGGGAAAAUGUGGCACACAUACACUAUGGAAUAUUAUGCAGCAAUCAGAAAUGAUGAGUUCGUGUCGUUUGUAGGGACAUGGAUGAAUCUGGAGAACAUCAUUCUCAGCAAACUGACACAAGAACAGAAAAUGAAACACCGCAUAUUCUCACUCAUAGGCGGGUGAUGAAAAAUGAGAACACAUGGACACAGGGAGGGGAGUACUAAACACUGGGGUCUAUUGGGGGGAAAAGGGGAGGGCCAGCGAGAGGGGGAGGUGGGGAGGGAUAGCCUGGGGAGAAAUGCCAAAUGUGGGUGAAGGGGAGAAAGGAAGCAAAACACACUGCCAUGUGUGUACCUAUGCAACUGUCUUGCAUGUUCUGCACAUGUACCCCCAAACCUAAAAUGCAAUAAAAAAAAAAAAAAAAAAAGAAUCUACAGAUGGGUCGGGUGUGAUGGCUCAUGCCUGUAAGCCCAGCACUUUGGGAGGCCAAGGUGGGUGGACACGAGGUCAAGAGAUCAAGACCAUCCUGGCUAACAUGGUGAAACCCCGUCUUUACUAAAAAUACAAAAAUUAGCCGGGCGUUUGGCACGCGCCUGUAGUCCCAACUACUCCGGAGGCUGAGGCGGAAGAAUCGCUUGAACCUGGGAGGUGGAAGCUGUAGUAAGCUCAGACUGCAUCACUGCGCUCCAGCCUGUUGCCAGAGCAAGACUCCACUUCAAAUAAAAAAAAAAAGAAUCUACAGAUAUAACUAUUAGAAUUGAGAAUUUAAUCUAGCAAGAUAACAGGAUACAAAGUUAUAUAAAAAUCAAUGCUGUUUCUAUCCUAACAACUAGCAAAGAGAACAUGAAUUUUUAAAAAUGGAGAACAUUUAUAAUAGCAUCAAAAGACAUUGAGUUUUUAGGAAGAAAUAUUAACAAAAGAUGGGUGAGACCUCUACUCAGAAAAUGAUAAACAUUACUGAAAUUUAAAAAUACCUAAAUAAAGGCAGCCUAUUUAUUUAGACUGGAAAAUCCCAGUUUAUUUCCAGUCAGUUGAGUCAUUGUGCUGGCGUGUGUGUGUGUGUGUGUGUGUGUGUGCGUCUGUGUAACGUGUAUCUGAUUAAAAAUUUAUGAAGAACCAAGAAUAUUUAUUCCUGAUUCCUGCCUUCCCAGUUAACGUACAGAACCCAGUAGAAAUGAUGAUUUGCUUUCAUCUGCUCCUUUGGUGAUGGCUAGCUAUGUCUAUGGUGAUGAUGCUUGUUUAUUAAAAAAAAAAUUAAAAAUUGGAUGAUUUACUCCACCUGACAUCCAAAUGUAAAGCCUUCUAGAAGAUAAUGUAGGAGAAUAUUUUCAUGGCCUUGGGACUGGGAAAGACUUUUUAAAGGAGACAUAGAAAGCAGAACUAUAAAAUGUAAAGUCAAUACAUUGUUGAAAGGUAUGAUUAUGUGAGUGCAAAAGCAGGCAACAGAGUGCAAGUAGAUACUUGCUUAAUUUAUAACCAUUGAUAGGCUCAUACCCAUUAUAUAGAAAGAGCUCCUACGAGUAAUUAGAAAAGGAUAGUUCAGUCUUGUCAAUGGAGAAGAAACAAACUAUUUCACAUAAGAGGAUAUUCAAAUGGUCAAAAACCAUGAAAAGAUACUUAACCUCAUCAGUUAUUAGGGAAGUAGAAAUUAAAACCAGUAUGAGAUGUCACUAUUUACUUGCCAAGAAUAGCUAAGAUGAAAAAGUAUUAGUGAAGAUAGUGGAACAGGUGAAACUGUCAUAUACCACUGAUGGGAGUAUAGCUGACACAACCAGUUUUGAGGACCAGUUGAUAGUAUCUCCUAAAACUGAUAUAUGUGAUAUAUAUGUUGCAUGAAAGAAGCCAGAGACACAAAGGAAAAUAAGUGGUAUGAGUUCAUUUGUAUAAAAUUCAAGGACAGGACCAGGCAUGGUGGCUCAUGCCUGUAAUCCCAGCACUUUGGAAGGCUGAGGCGGGUGGAUCACUUGAGGCUAGGAGUUUGAGACCAGCUUGGCCAACAUGGUAAACCCUGUCUCUACUAAAAAUACAGAAAUUAGGCUGGGUGCGGUGGCUCACGCCUGUAAUCCCAGCACUUUGGAAGGCUGAGGCCGGUAGAUCAUGAGGUCAAGAGAUCAAGACCAUCCUGACCAACAUGAUGAAACUCCGUCUCUACUAAAACUACAAAAAUUAGCUUCGUAUGGUGGUAUGUACCUGUAGUCCCAGCUACUUAGGAGGCUGAGGCAGGAGAAUCAUUUGAACCCGAGAGGUGGAGGUUUGCAGUGAGCCAGAUCGCACACUGCACUCCUGCCUGGCGACAGAGUGAGACUCUGUCUCAAAAAAAAUUAGCCAGAUGUGUGGUGGUACAUGCCUAUAAUCCUAGUUACUGAGGAGGCUGAGGUAUGAGUAUCACUUGAGCCUGGGAGGCAGAGGUUGCAAUGAGCUGAGAUCACGCCACUGCAGCCCAACCUUAGCAACAGAGUGAGACUGUCUCAAAAAUAAAUAAGUUCAAAGACAGACUAAUUUGUUAUAUUAGAACUAAGAUAGUAUUUACUUUUGGAAUAGAGGGUAGGGUUAGUGGUUAAGAAGUGUUACAAGGGGAGCUUUUCUGUACAUUGAGCUUGUACACUUAUGAUUUGUAUAUAUGUUAUAUUUCAGUGUAACGUUACUUUCAAAUGAGAUAGUAUGUGUAAGCUGCUUAGCAUAAUGCCUCACUCGUGAAAAUGAAUUCAGUUCAAUAGUUGGCAGCAUUAACCAUUUACUGUGAUUUAGUGCUCUGUGAUGAUAAGAUUCAUGGCUGUGUUAUCCAGCAGAACUUUCUGCAGUAAUUAAAAUGUUCUGUAUUUGUGCUGUUCAGUUUCACAGUCAUUAGCCACAAGUAGCUGUUGAACAUUUGAAAUAUGACCAGUGUGAUAUUUUAAGCAAAAUUUUAAAAUUUUGCUUAACUUUAAUUAGAACUUAAAUACCCGACAUGUGGCUAUUAUAUUGGACAGUGCAGGUCUAGGGUUUUUGUCAUAAGAAAUGAAUGACUAAAGGAGAAUACCAACGAAGUUCACUUGCAUCAUUGAACAAAUCAGGAAACUGAGAGCCCAGAGUGUCAGAUCAAUUGUGCAUAUAUAUACAUUCAAGAAUGCUCAGGAUCAUGGCAAGAUCUGAUUGGAGUAGGAGACUAUUAGCUAGGUUCCAAAGUCUUCGAAGAAGCCUCAGUUAGAGUAAUGUUUUCUCCCAUAUAGACUAUCUAAAGUACACAGAGAGAAAUGUUUCUGCAGCAGCAACAGAUGCUCCAGAGAAGUUUUUUUUGUUUUUAUUUUUUAUUUUAUGUAUUUAUUUAUUUUUUUUGAGACAGAGUUUCGCUCUUGUUACCCAGACUGGAGUGCAAUGGUGCGAUCUCAGCUCACCGCAGCCUCCGCCUCCCGAGUAGCUGGGAUUACAGGCACGCGCCACCAUGCCCAGCUAAUUUUUUGUAUUUUUAGUAGAGACGGGGUUUCACCAUGUUGACCAGGAUGGUCUCGAUCUCUUGACCUCAUGAUCCACCCGCCUCGGCCUCCCAAAGUGCUGGGAUUAUAGGCUUGAGCCACCGCGCCCGGCCCUAUUUUUGUUUUUUAAGACAGAGUCCCACUCUGUCAUCCAGGCUGGAAUGCAGUGGUGUGAUCUCAACUCAUUGCAAUCUCUGCCUCGAAGUAAUUCUCCUGCCUUGGCCUCCCAAGUAGCUGGGAUUACAGGCAUGUGACACCAUGUCCAGCUAAUUUUUAUAUUUUUAGUAGAGAUGGGGUUUCACUAUGUUGGCUAGGCUGGUCUUGAACUCCUGACCUCAGGUGAUCCGCCCACCUUGGCCUCCCAAAGUGCUAGGAUUACAGAUGUGAGCCACUGUGCCUGGCUUCCAGAGAAGUUCUGUGCAACCAAACUAGAGCAGUAAUGUGGUCAUUGAAGAUCUGUGAGGCAGAAGUUUGAUGCAGUGAGAGGAAGGAAGCCAGCGUGUAGGAGUGGAUGAAAGGUUAAGGUAUGGCCAAUUUUCAAAAAGCUCCUCUCUGAAGGCAAUGUGAGGGGAGGUGGUAGCUAGAGGGAGAUGUGGAAUUUUGCUUUUGUUUAACAAAUGCUGAGAAAUAGAGCUUGAGAAAUGACCCUAAAAAGUGAAAUUUCUUCGUAUUUUUAAACAUUUAAAAGUUUAAAACAUUAAAAUAAUUAUAAUUAUAAUUAUUUUUUUGAGACGGAGUUUUGCUCUUAUUACCCAGGCUGGAGUGCAAUGGCAUGAUCUCGGCUCACCGCAACCUCUGCCUCCUGGGUUCAGGCCGUUCUCCUGCCUCAGCCUCCCAAGUAGCUGGGACUACAGGCAUUUGCCACCAUGUCCAGCUAAUUUUUGUAUUUUUAGUAGAGAUGGUGUUUCACCAUGUUGACCAGGAUGGUCUCGAUCUCUUGAUCUUGUGAUUCACCUGCCUCGGCCUCCCAUAGGGCUGGGAUUUUAGGCAUUAGCCACCACGCCUGGCCUUAUUAUUUUAAAAUUUAAAAUUUUUCUAUAAGUUCCUCAGUCACACUAGUCACAUUUAAAAUGUUCAACAGCCAUUUUGUGGCUAGUGACUAUGAAACUGAACAGCACAAAUACAGAACAUUUUACUCACCGCAGAAAGUUCUGUUGGAUAACAGUGCCAUGGAUCUUGUCAUCACAGAGCACUAAAUCACAAUGAAUAGUUAAUGUUGCCAGCUGUUGAAGAGAACUCAUUUUCAUGAGUGAGGCAUGUGGGAGAAAUGUUGAGGCUGAGUUCAUACAGGGUCUCCUCUGUGAGAUGGGGUGGAAGGAAGCUGGGUGACGAUAGUGGAAAUAUUGGUUGGGCCAGAUUUUAAAUAGCCUUGAAUGACAUUAUGAAGUAAUGCUGACUUUAUCUGUUAGUUCAUAGAGAGCCAAGGAAGAUUUUAAACAUGCGAGUCUCCUGUGAGAGUCUGUGCUUCAGAAAUAUUACUCUGGCAAUAUCAAGGACUGAGAGCUAACUGUAAAGUGUCCAGACUAAAGGUAGACAGAUUGUUAUCAAACAAGAAACAAUGAAAGCCUGAAUUAUAGCAGUAGCAGAGAGGAUGGAGACAAGUUGGUGAACUUAAUAGUUUAGAGAUGGAAUGAGCACAACCUGUGGUGAUGGAACAAGGGGAAGUUGUACAGACCUGUUUUUACUGGAGUUGACUAGGUGACUGGUGAGCUUACAUUUGAGUUCUUUCUCAAAAGAAAGAACAGGCAUUUGAGAGUAGAGUGAGUUGCAACAGCUUUGUUAAGAUACAAUAUAUAGACUAAGCAAUUUAUCCACUUGGAGUAUACAAUUUAUGUUUUUAGUGUACUCACAGAGUUGUUCAACCAUCAUCAUAGUCCAUUUUAGAAUGUAAAAGAAAUCUAGUAUGGAAACCUAGUAUACCCAUUAGCAGCCGUUUCCCGUUUCAUCCCAGCCCUCCCAGCACUAGACAACUACUAAUCUACUUUCAGUCUGUGAAUUUGCCUAUUCUGGACAUUUCUUAAGCAGCCUGAUGAAGAGCACCUGCCUUCUUUCAGCCUUACAACAACCUGGGAGCUGUGAUUGGUAUAGACGAUGAGGACGACAGCACCUUCACAAUAACUGUUGAUCAGAAAACCUUCCAUUUCCAGGCUCGUGAUGCUGAUGAGCGAGAGAAGUGGAUCCAUGCCUUAGAAGAAACAAUUCUUCG